rnacentral:piRNA from 1 species
UCAAUUGGUAAGGUGCUUGCCUAGCAUGCAU